rnacentral:rRNA from 1 species
UACGUAGGGCGCAAGCGUUGUCCGGAAUUAUUGGGCGUAAAGAGCUCGUAGGCGGUUUGUCGCGUCUGCUGUGAAAACCUAAGGCUCAACCUUGGGCUUGCAGUGGGUACGGGCAGACUAGAGUGCGGUAGGGGCGACUGGAAUUCCUGGUGUAGCGGUGGAAUGCGCAGAUAUCAGGAGGAACACCGAUGGCGAAGGCAGGUCACUGGGCCGCAACUGACGCUGAGGAGCGAAAGCAUGGGGAGCGAACAGG